GACGAACGCUGGCGGCGUGCUUUACACAUGCAAGUCGAACGGUGAAGGUGGAGCUUGCUCCGCCGGAUCAGUGGCGAACGGGUGAGUAACACGUGGGCAACCUGCCCCUAACUUUGGGAUAACUACUCGAAAGAGUAGCUAAUACCGGAUACGAAGUCUGUAGGCAUCUACGGAUUUGGAAAGUUUUUCGGUUAGGGAUGGGCCCGCGGCCUAUCAGCUUGUUGGUGAGGUAGUGGCUCACCAAGGCGACGACGGGUAGCCGGCCUGAGAGGGCGACCGGCCACACUGGGACUGAGACACGGCCCAGACUCCUACGGGAGGCAGCAGUGGGGAAUAUUGCGCAAUGGGCGAAAGCCUGACGCAGCAACGCCGCGUGCGGGAUGAAGGCCUUCGGGUUGUAAACCGCUUUCAGCAGGGAAGAAGCGAAAGUGACGGUACCUGCAGAAGAAGCACCGGCUAACUACGUGCCAGCAGCCGCCGUUAA
rnacentral:rRNA from 1 species